CGGCGGACGGGUGAGUAACACGUGGAUAACCUACCUAUAAGACUGGGAUAACUUCGGGAAACCGGAGCUAAUACCGGAUAACACAUGAAACCGCAUGGUUUCAUGAUGAAAGACGGUUUUGCUGUCACUUAUAGAUGGACCCGCGGCGUAUUAGCUAGUUGGUAAGGUAACGGCUUACCAAGGCAACGAUACGUAGCCGACCUGAGAGGGUGAUCGGCCACACUGGAACUGAGACACGGUCCAG
rnacentral:rRNA from 1 species